CCCUUAGAGUUUGAUCCUGGCUCAGAUUGAACGCUGGCGGCAUGCCUUACACAUGCAAGUCGAACGGUAACAGGUCUUCGGAUGCUGACGAGUGGCGAACGGGUGAGUAAUACAUCGGAACGUGCCCGAUCGUGGGGGAUAACGGAGCGAAAGCUUUGCUAAUACCGCAUACGAUCUACGGAUGAAAGCAGGGGACCGCAAGGCCUUGCGCGGACGGAGCGGCCGAUGGCAGAUUAGGUAGUUGGUGGGAUAAAAGCUUACCAAGCCGACGAUCUGUAGCUGGUCUGAGAGGACGACCAGCCACACUGGGACUGAGACACGGCCCAGACUCCUACGGGAGGCAGCAGUGGGGAAUUUUGGACAAUGGGCGCAAGCCUGAUCCAGCCAUGCCGCGUGCAGGAUGAAGGCCUUCGGGUUGUAAACUGCUUUUGUACGGAACGAAAAGACUCUGGUUAAUACCUGGGGUCCAUGACGGUACCGUAAGAAUAAGCACCGGCUAACUACGUGCCAGCAGCCGCGGUAAUACGUAGGGUGCGAGCGUUAAUCGGAAUUACUGGGCGUAAAGCGUGCGCAGGCGGUUAUGUAAGACAGAUGUGAAAUCCCCGGGCUCAACCUGGGAACUGCAUUUGUGACUGCAUAGCUAGAG
rnacentral:rRNA from 1 species